rnacentral:sRNA from 1 species
AAAACUUCAUAGGGACUUCGGCUACACCAUCAAAACUUUUAGAAGCAAGAAGAAGGUUGGUUAGCAUUUUUGGAGUCAAAU